UGGCAACGAUUGGGCGUUCAUACCUCUGCCCUCUCUGUCCUAAACAGUGUACACGUUCUAGUUGGAUUUUGUUGAUAGCUUCGCGUGGAAUCUGAAGCGCUGUAUGGAGCAACUCUCUAACUACAGAUUCAGGAACUUCUUCAUCUUUCUCUUGGAUACCUGAAGGUUAUCUCUAAUCCAAACAGACGACUUAAACACGAGAGCAGUGGAUCAGGCCUCGGAAAAAAGAAGAUAAUCAAUCACUACUCCUAAAACACACGGACCAGUCUCAAACAAUGUUCUGCUUUCCCCUAUUGCAAGGAUUACAGUAUAUUUCUAUUACUAAUCUCUGUUGGAUAAUUCACUUUCUGC